AGGUUACUGCUAUCGAGGUUCGACUAAGCCAUGCGAGUCGAAUGUAGCAAUACAUGGCGUACUGCUCAGUAACACGUGGACAACCUACCCUUAGGCCUGGGAUAACCCCGGGAAACUGGGAAUAAUACCGGAUAUCUCGCGAAUGCUGGAAUGCGUCGCGAUAGAAAGCUCCGGCGCCUAAGGAUGGGUCUGCGGCCUAUCAGGGUAGUAGUGGGUGUAACGUACCUACUAGCCUACGACGGGUACGGGUUGCGAGAGCAAGAGCCCGGAGAUGGAUUCUGAGACACGAAUCCAGGCCCUACGGGGUGCAGCAGGCGCGAAAACUUUACAAUGCUGGAAACAGCGAUAAGGGGACCUCGAGUGCCAGGAUACAAUCCUGGCUGUCGUAAUGCCUAAAAAGCAUUGCAUAGCAAGGGCCGGGCAAGACCGGUGCCAGCCGCCGCGGUAACACCGGCGGCUCGCGUGGUAACCGCUAUUAUUGGGUCUAAAGGGUCUGUAGCCGG
rnacentral:rRNA from 1 species